GACGAACGCUGGCGGCGUGCUUAACACAUGCAAGUCGAACGGAAAGGCCCUGCUUUUGUGGGGUGCUCGAGUGGCGAACGGGGGAGUAACACGUGAGUAACCUGCCCUUGACUUUGGGAUAACUUCAGGAAACUGGGGCUAAUACCGGAUAGGAGCUCCUGCUGCAUGGGGGGGGUUGGAAAGUUUCGGCGGUUGGGGAUGGACUCGCGGCUUAUCAGCUUGUUGGUGGGGUAGUGGCUUACCAAGGCUUUGACGGGUAGCCGGCCUGGGAGGGUGACCGGCCACAUUGGUACUGCGAUACGGCCCAGACUCCUACGGUAGGCAGCAGUGGGGAAUAUUGCACAAUGGGCGGACGCCUGAUGCAGCAACGCCGCGUGCGUGAUGACGUCCUUCGGGUUGUAAACCGCUUUCGCCUGUGACGAAGCGUGAGUGACUGUAAUGGGUAAAGAAGCACCGGCUAACUACGUG
rnacentral:rRNA from 1 species